GACAGAGGGUGCAAACGUUGUUCGGAGUUACUGGGCGUAAAGCGCGUGUAGGCGGCUAUGCAAGUCGGGCGUGAAAGCCCUCGGCUCAACCGAGGAAGUGCACUCGAAACUGCGUAGCUAGAGUCCCGGAGAGGAAGGUGGAAUACUUGGUGUAGAGGUGAAAUUCGUAGAUAUCAAGUGGAACACCGGUGGCGAAGGCGGCCUUCUGGACGGUGACUGACGCUGAGACGCGAAAGCGUGGGGAGCAAACAGG
rnacentral:rRNA from 1 species